AUAAAAGUAGUCUUAGUGUGUGAGCCGCAAUGAACACAAUCAUACACCAAAUCCCUAACAAUUGAGCAUUCCCAAUCUCCUACCUAAGGAGUAUUCAUCUCCUUUUUUCUUCACAUUCAAAUUCAAUUUCACUCAUGGAGGAAGAUGUUCAGCAGGGCUUCUGUUUCUGCAAAUCGGACUUUGAUUUUGCUAUUCCGGGUAUCUUCUUCAAGAGUGGUAGCGAACCAGAUAUCACAACUAACGGAAUCCUUUUGGCAGAUAAGGGUGAUGAUGUUGUUAAGUUGUUCGAAAACUUGUGGAUCUGAAACUGUGUGAAUCAUAUAUAAAUGCACUGCGUAGCUACACAAAUAAAGUUUGUGGUGAUCAAUGAAGUCCAACAAUCUCUGGGGAUUCCUUCUUCAUUAAAGGAACAAUCUGUGGGGAUUCCUUCUUCAUUAAAGGAUUGUUUUUAGAGGAUAAUGUUAGGUUGGAAUCUUGCUUCAUUAAAGGAUUCUUUUUAGAGAAUAAGAUUGAUUGUUGUUAGAGGAUAAGAUUGACUAUUAGAGAUUGUGUGAGUGUAAUGAUGUUAUGAUAUGAUAGUGAUAUAUGCGCAUUGCAAAUGUUGCACAAAUAUUUGUAGCCCACAAGUACUUGAUGUUUGGUUGCAAUUCUACACUCAAAGUUUGGAGACACUCAAAUGUAGUAUCACGAAUCAUGUGGUUAAGUAUGGUUAUGUUGUUCUUGCAACUCCUGCUUUGAUGUUGCCUUAUGGAUUGGAAAAGAUACAUUUGAGUGGCAUGAACUUUUUCGAAGAGAACAUGGAUGUCAUUGGCUCUCUGCUUGUGAUAUCAUCCCUAUGCGUUCGGUGGUUCAAAGUGGGAAGUUUUUCAAGACUUUAGCUUCUUCUAAUAAAGAUAGUGAUUUGGUGCAAUGGAAACCGAGAUUUGGACGCUUUGCUUUAGCUGCCUAAGCAAGCAUGAAACACUGUUACUCGAAUAGAUCCAUUUGUUGUGUGUAUGCUGUUCUUGUGUUAAUUGUUGAGCAUCAAGCUUAAAAGGUGUGGGACUUAAAUAGCAGAUCCAGAAAGGUUCUAAAGAUGAGUAAGAGUGGUUUCCGUUUACUUUCAUGAAGUCCUAUCGUGGUGAUUCAGACUCUCGUCCAGCCAGAGGAGAUAUCUUAUCAAUUAAGUUGUACUUCAUGGUUUAAUCUUACUACAUGAAUUUAACCCUUCUUCCA